CUACGGGUUGCUGCAGUAGGGAAUAUUGCGCAAUGGGCGAAAGCCUGACGCAGCGACGCCGCGUGAGUGAUGAAGGUCCUCUGGAUUGUAAAGCUCUGUAAGGAGGGAAGAACCGCCUGGUGUAACGGCCAGGUCUGACGGUACCUCCAAAGUAAGCACCGGCUAAAUAAGUGCCAGCAGCCGCGGUAAUACUUAUGGUGCGAGCGUUGUCCGGAAUGACUGGGCGUAAAGGGUGCGUAGGCGGACUUUCAAGUCAGGUGUGAAAUCCCCGGGCUUAACCUGGGAACUGCGCUUGAAACUGGAAGUCUAGAGUAUGUGAGGGGUUAGCGGAAUUCCCGGAGUAGCGGUGAAAUGCGUAGAGAUCGGGAAGAACACCGGUGGCGAAGGCGGCUAACUGGCACAUGACUGACGCCGAGGCACGAAAGCGUGGGGAGCGAACGGGAUUAGAUACCCCCGUAGUC
rnacentral:rRNA from 1 species